AGCUUGUCAAGCGUGCUGCCCAGCGGUUUCACCAGCAGCGAAUUGUUGUUCAACGUCACUUCACCCUUGGCGGCAACCUGCUGACCAUUCAAGGGGAUAUCUAGAUGUAAGCGCCCACUGACAUCACCACCAAUCUGCAGCUCCUCCAAUGCCGUACCGACCGAAUCGUGCAGCGGUGUCUGCAUGAAAUAGUCAUGCACGUCCGGGCCGGCGCCAGCCACUUCUGCAUCGAUCAACAGCCGCUCUUUCAGAUAGUCCGGGAUGAUGGCGCUGAUAUUCUUGCCGCUGACCUUGCCCAGUUUGGCGGCCGGAGCAUUCAUCCACAAACCGUUAUUCAGGAAGUCGAGGUCAAUUGCCAAAUCGGUCAACGCCGGCCAGCCCGGCUGGAACUGGAAGGUCGCCUGACGUAGCGGGACG
rnacentral:ncRNA from 1 species